AGGGGAGUGAAAGAGAUCCUGAAACCGUGUGCCUACAAGUAGUCAGAGCCCGUUAAUGGGUGAUGGCGUGCCUUUUGUAGAAUGAACCGGCGAGUUACGAUCCCAUGCAAGGUUAAGCUGAUAAGGCGGAGCCGUAGCGAAAGCGAGUCUGAAUAGGGCGUUUAGUAUGUGGUUGUAGACCCGAAACCAGGUGAUCUACCCAUGUCCAGGGUGAAGUUCAGGUAACACUGAAUGGAGGCCCGAACCCACGCACGUUGAAAAGUGCGGGGAUGAGGUGUGGGUAGCGGAGAAAUUCCAAUCGAACCUGGAGAUAGCUGGUUCUCUCCGAAAUAGCUUUAGGGCUAGCCUCAUGUUGUAAGAGUCUUGGAGGUAGAGCACUGAUUGGACUAGGGGCCCCCAACGGGUUACCGAAUUCAGUCAAACUCCGAAUGCCAAAGACUUAUCCAUGGGAGUCAGACUGCG
rnacentral:rRNA from 2 species